rnacentral:lncRNA from 1 species
CCAUGAUGGCUCCGUCUCAUUCUGUCACAGAUCGUCUUUAUAAGCCAGACAUGUCAGUGCUAUAAACUGAUGAGACACCGACAGAAUUUAACAGAAAUCGAAGGUGUGGAAAGGAUCUCAGACAAGCGAAUCCAUCACUGUUACUGUACAGAUAAGAAAUGGAGGCCAAAUAGGAUUAGCAACUUGCUCAGGACUCCACAGCAAAAGCAGCAAUUGGAUGUCACAGAAUGAGUUCUGAGGUUUACAUCAGAAGAUGGCCCUGAACCGGAGCCAAAGCUGGCCGGGGAGCUUGGGGAAGAUUCUGAGCCUCACACUUUUAUUUGUGAAGUGAGAUGCUGACUCUAUUGUUGGUUUUGUUUGGGGGUUUGAUGCUCAAAUAAAGCAAUACACACGAGGGAAUUUACUGACAUUGUUUAAAAAACAAAGUUAGUGUAUGAUGAAGCAGCGGAGUGAUUCACGAAUGGCAUUAUAAAUAUUUUAAAAACACAAAAGGAAUUAAAAGAGUAUAUACUUGGAUGUUAAUGAAAAUAAAAUUUCAUUGAGAAUAAGAAUCUUGGUAAACAUCAGUUGAUAUUAAAACUUUAUUGCUUUUAAA